CCGGUGUCGACUUACUAGCUGCAAGCCUCUGCCUGCCUUCCUGCGCGCCGUUCCCCGCUAGUCGCUGCUGCUGGCGCGCACUCGCCGGGUUUUUCCUCCCACGGCCUCGAGAUGGUGGUGAAUGUGGCACGGAGGAGCCGGGCCUUCCAACCCGGUGGGCCCGAGCUCCGAAAGGCCCCCUCGGCAGUGAGAGGGGCGGGAGCCCGCGGGGGCCGCGCCCUUCUCUCGCUUCGGACUGCGCAACGCUGCGCUCUGGGCUGACAGAUGAAGACUCUUAAGAUGACAGAAGGUGAUUUUUCUGGUGAUCGAGGACUUCCGGGGUAAUGACAGUGAUGAAAUGCAGGGGACCUGGUAGGUUUCUUUUGGAGACUAACUGGGGGCUGCCUGGUGGGACAGAACAGCAUGUUUCCAAGGGCUGUGGCUGGUCAUAGCCAUGGGAUCUCCAACUGCAUGCAAGAGCAACCUGGAAAGACUUUGACAGCGCAGGUUGCCCCCAAGUUUCCUGGCAGUGUGUGAUACUGAGGAGGUGAGCUUGUUUCUGGAGCUGUGCUUUAAGAUUCAUGUUACAUGUAAAGCUGUCCUCAUUUGUGACUAUGGACCUAUGGAGUUGGGACAAUCUCUAUGGGAAGCAGAAGGCAAGGACCCCGGUCAUUUUAGGUAGAAACAACAGCAUGCUAAUGCAAAAAAUUAUGCAGUGUGCUACUGAACUUCAGAGGUGAUCAAUAAAAGAAGAAUAAAAAGACUAAUAAAA
rnacentral:lncRNA from 1 species